GCCAGAGCCGUAUCUCCCUGCAGUUCUCACCUGGUCUCCCACUAAAGCUAAGCAGAACUGAGCCUGACCAGUACCUGGAUGGGACACCUCCUGGGGUAAACUAAAGUUGCUGCUGGAA
rnacentral:rRNA from 1 species